AUUCACAAAACACCGAUAACCAUUAAGAAUGAGACUCAGUCAACCCAGACCCAAGGACGAGGAGGGAAGGGGAGUGAGUGAAAAGACCAGAGCUGUGAUUCAAAGGAAACAAAAAAGGAGAAGGGCUAGGCUCUGCAACGCAAAGGAGGAAGAGAAGAGACCAGAGACAGAGUGAGACGGAAAAGUGAAAUGAAAGAAUGAG
rnacentral:misc_RNA from 1 species